GUCAGCACCCCGCACUAAAGUGACGGGGCUAUGCGGGGAGCGCAGGCUAUUCGCUUCGCGAAGGCUUCGCCAACGCCAAUAUGCCUCCGACUUUAGGUAGCUGACCAGUCUAAGCGCAAGCUACGUUCGGAUUAAGAGUUAAAGUUCAUACCUUGGGUUACGAUGCUAGACCCAAGCUCUAUAACCAAAAAGUUAAACAUUCUUACGAGGGGUAAGAAAGUGCUUUUUGGAAAGUACCGAAUCCGAACAUUGACGAAGCGAACGUUAC
rfam:Crinalium epipsammum PCC 9333, complete genome.